rnacentral:rRNA from 1 species
AUGGCACGGUACCAACUGAGAUGCACAGCUCUGAUGCUGAUCAUGACAGCGACGCUGCAAGUACCGGAGGGGGUGGGUGGACCACCAGCUCUGGAUAUGGAUGCUUUCAAAAAUAUGAUUAGUGGUAUAGCUGAGAGAGUGCUGCAGAAGGAGAUGGCAAGGAUUGAUGCCGAGACUGACUCAAAGUUGAUGACCCUCGGCAAGGAACUGGAAUCUUCUGAGAUGCGUAGCAGAAGUCUGCGUUCUCAAAUGGACGCAGUCAUAGCUGAGGGCAACCGCAGGCGCAUGCAUAUGCUCACAGGUGAGCUCAUUCAGGCUCUGUACGAUGGUUUGCGGGAUGCAUUCCAGCCGGCUGGUGCCGGACAACCAUGGUUCUAUGGUCUGGAGCAGAAGAUGUUUGAUUUGUCUGUUGAGAAGGCUCUAUUAGGGAUAGAGCGUACAUUUGAAGUUGAGGAUCCUAACUUGUACAACUACAACUACCAUGGAACGCGUUACUCUGGGGCGCGGGCAAUGCGUGACAACAAGGGGAAAGGAGAGGCUUGGGUUCCAGUUUCAAGGACUGUUGGUUUUGCUACGCCAAAUCUGCCAAUGGAUGAAAACAGGGGUGGUGAACAUAGACAGUGGCUCAAGUUCAGCUGGGCCAGCAUUCGAUUCAUACCCGGAUAG